GUGUGUGCGUGUGUGUGUGUGUGCAUGUGUGUCUGCAGAGGGUCACGUUCACAUCGAUGCUUAUCCAGGCAGGCCCAUUGCUUUGCUCCAAACUCCUGUGACCGCUGCGGCCGACGCGAGUAGGUGAGCUCGGACCUCAGAGGUCUGACGGCCGAGUUUGCGCAGCCGCCUCUCCCAGACCUGGAGGGGUGGCAGGGACGGGCGGCAGCCGCCGGAAACACUCAUCUUUUCCUUCACGAGUCUGAACGUUCCUUGUGAAAACGCGUCUGGGGCUGUGAGUCUGUGGAGUUGAGUAGGGGGAGGCGCGUCUUCAACGCUGUCAUUUUACCCUUAAUGCUGAGGUUUCUUCGCUCGUGCAUCAAUGUAGCAUUGAUGUAGCCACAGUCUGGAGGAGUCCGUGUAAACCACUGUCUCAGUCGGCGUCAGCAUCGUAUUUUACCAUGGAACUAUAGCCGGCACGGGUCUGCGAUCAAGUCCAAGUGAACGUUUCAAAGUCGUUUCGGAUGAAAGGAGGUAAAUGUAAUUGCCAUUACUCCCAGGCCUCGUGCUUUUAGAAUUUACUUCGAAGCAUUUCUAGAUGGGAAAUUUCCCAGAGUUUGGCCAAGUUGGUCUCGGGGCGAUAGGAGGGAACUUCUGGUUUACAGCUCAUCUCAUUCCUGGCGACAAAUGAACAGCGCGUGAAAAGGACCAUCACCGAAAACGAGAUUCGCAGGAGCUUCUCCGAGCAAGAACGCCGACGUUCGCCAGCAUCGUUGAGGGCGACAGGAUGUUUCAGGCGCUGCUUUUCCUUAGAGGUGUGUCAUCAUCUUGGCCUUGGCCCGAUCUUGUGAGGCGUCCCUGAUUCAAAAAGUCAUCAUCGCGAGCCUCUGAGGAGCAGAUCUGGAAGCGACGCCUUCACUUAACUGACCUCUCGGAAUCAGCAGAGGCACAAGGUCUUCGGAGCCGACCUCACAGCACUGACUACCUCGGCUCAGCAUGAUUUUAUGAUCCAGGUUGUUAAUUUGCUGUGUGGCAGAAUAAAAAAUUAACUGUGGAGCCUUCAGUCCGGGCCACGUGAGAAUACUCUAGAUUUCCUAGGCCCGUCAACUGGUUCAGACUGUAGCAGGCUCUUUUAUUAAAAUGGUGCUGCUGAUCCAGUAUCCAAGUUCAUUGUCUUCCUUUAAAAGAUUCCCAAGAUGAUACUGUGAAACAAAUGUUUAUAUUUGUUACUGAAUAAGCUACCUAACUGUUCGAUGGCACACUUAACUUCCCAAUUCUGUCAAUACUGAGGCGAGGAGAAUAAGUUUUUAGUCCUUGGGCCCAUGCCAACUUGGCAUAUUACAUAGUAGGAGAAAACGAAGAUUUUAAGUAAUGUUGAUAAUUUAUAUACUGAAAAUUGAGAAAAGAUGUAGAAUCACUGGAACCUGGCCCUCCAAAUUAAUAUAAAAUAUCGCCGUUUCCGACAACACUGUAGACUUACAGGGGCAAAAAAAAAGUUACAAAGCACACACACACACGCACGCACACACACACACACACACACACAUCCAUUAGCCUCUGCUACAUGGGAUAAAAACAGAGUCCCAGCUCACGGUAGACACUGGAAUGGCUUCAUUAUCCAAUUUUGUCCCGGAGAACGUCAAACAACGCUCUACGCUCCGGUCCUCAGAGUUAACUUUUCCUGGUAUCUUUUUCAUAAGGUUUGACUUGCAUAUCUCCCCCCGGCUUUCUCCUAUGAACACAUCUGUAAACGUGUAAACUUCACGUGUGUCUCUAAUUAACAGCCUAUGGUAAGAUCUGACAUCUUCAGUCCCGGGUGACAGUGCUGGGUGCUUGUCAGUCCGUGGUAGGUGGUGGGUACGUCCUACCAUUCCUCAGUGCCACCCAACCUCUGUGUGGGUGGCCGACGGGCAUCUGUACAGGUUCAGAGACCAAUAUGUUCAUUACCCCGAACACGUGAGUCAGCACCGACGUGCAAGUCUGAUUAAGACCUGACACUGCGGACACAACCCAAGGCCCUUCGUCUGGCUCUCUCUGACCAGAGGCAGCUGCUGACACACAACUUAAUGCAAAAGACAGUCCUCGAAAAGUACCGCAGAGGCCUGGGCCCCGUGGACGCACGCACGGCUGCCGAAAUCGGGCCGAAGGCACCGAUGUUGCUGGAUGUCAUUCCUGACACUAUAUGUCCUCCAUUGGUUCUCGAUGCUUGAUAAAGCGACCCGUCAACAAGAAGGUGCAUUGUCCCCCAACCCUAUUUUUUCCCUUUCUAAAGUAAGUAUUAGCCUCCUGGGACCUGAAAUUGCCUUGGAUGGACAAAGGAGGUCUGAAAUGAACUUUUACGGAAUCGAAGCAGACUGUAGAGUUCCUGUGCUAAGCAGGGGACACGAAAGCAUGGCGCCAGGGAGCGACACCACAUUUAACUGAUCCUAAAACGUUUAUUUAAAUUGCAAAUGGACGAGUCUUAUGGAAUACAUGUAGUAAUUGAGAAUCCUGAAGAAUUAGAUUGUGUGGAAAUGAGCUGUGGCUUCCUCUGUCUUCAGGCCAUCGUUAUCACUGCAAAGCGGGAAGUCCUCUCCCGACCUUCUCGCUGAUCACGUGCCACUAAGUAGCCGCCGCAGCCCACGGCCGCCCCGCCGGGCAGAGUGCGGGAGCAGCAAGGCCGCCUCCAGCCUUGCCCGCCAUCGCGUGGCGCUCGCUCCUCCUGCCGGCCCACGUCCCCACACCUCUGUGUGACCUCCACGCUCACCUCCAGCUGGGUUUUGAGAGUGACAAGUUGGCAUUGCUCCCGGCCUCAAACUAUGACGUGUGGGAUGUUAGGUUCUAUCCUUUCUGCUCUGAGUGUAAAAUGUGAAGUUGGGGCAGACGAAUUUAGCUGAUGAGGGUAUUAGCAGACUACGUAUUUGAGCUGAGCCAAUUGGCUUUGUACCGAGAAAAAGGACCCCCUAAUUUCCCGAGUUGCAGGUCUCACCCCAACCUCAGCGAUCCCGUGAAGGGUGUGUGGUCUCCUGCUGACUGCAGAUCUCAAGGACAGGCGGCCCCAAGUCGUGAGGAUGGGAAGAGGACCUCAAAACGCGUGUCCCCCAGACGGGAGUCCAGCAGCACCCUCCGAAAAAAACGGAUAAGUGGGAAUUCAAAUUUCAGAUAAGAGAAUGUAUUGCAAGGUAAGAGCUCAGGUCCCUUUCCUAAGGCUGACACGGUACAGCCAGAUUUCAGGCUGACCCUUUGUCUCCCGAGCUCUGUAUCGCUCCUCACUGCAUUGACCACAUCACGCACGACACCAGUUCUGAGUCUGAACUGGAUGCAUACGCGUCUGGACAAGGAUGUGCCCUUCUAAACAUCCGGUACACUCAGUGCCCCUUUAAAGGAGGGAUUUAUAACUUGGGUGUAAGAACAUAUGAUGGUGCAUAAUAGUCAUAUUCACUGAGUAAUUUAAAACUACUGUUUGAUUACACCAAAAUUAGCUGAGUCAGAAAAAUAAGUACAAUGUAUUUAGGGAGGGGGUGGGUAACUGUUACCAACUUUAACCAAAGUCACUGGCUUUGAGAUGAGUGUUAUAUCAACUUAAUAAUCAAAGAUAAAUCUUUGAUUAUUGAAAUAUCUAAUUAAUAGUAUAUUUCCACAUUUUGCCUCCUUUAUAAAUAACAUUGUAGCUUGUUUCCCAGAUGAUCUGUUGCAAAUACACACAUAUACCAUAUGGUAUUUUAAAUAUACAUACAAAUAUGAAAUGAACAGCACACAACCAAAUUUCAUGUUUCAAUCAGACAUAAGAUAAUCAGUUUUAGGCACGAAAUGUCCUAUGCACUAUUGCUGAUGAUCUUCUGGGGGAGCACUCUGACAAAGGUACAGGGUAACAAAUCACUGAGAAUUUAGUCACAAAAUAUAUUUUACCUGAAACUCGAAGCUCUGUAAGUUUGCAGUUCUCUCAUACUCGGAAGGAAGGAAGGAAGGAAAAAGGAAAGGCGAACGGAAGAGAGAAAAGAUAAGAAGAAAGGAAUUAAACCUAUUUUAAGCAUGAAAAAGUCAAGAGGCGGAAGCUAUGUUUUCCCAUUUAUCGAAAGGGAAGGAUCAGCAUAAGAAAAAUGGAAAGACCAUGAACGUGGAUAGGUGAGACACCUGGACCAUCGUUGACCAGCUGGAUGAUGUCGAGUUCCUCAAUAACGAAAUGGACUUGAUACUAUCUACCUGUUUGUUUUGUGCGAAAUGAAUCAGAAAAUGCACAUAAUUCUGCAAAUGAUCCUUUUUCUAAUUGCUUCUGGUAGAAGCUUAAAAUACUGAUCUGAGACGUUUCUCUAAGAGCAUUUAAUGCUGUAAACUCCCCCUUGAAUACGCCUUAGCUGCAUCUCACGAAUUUUGAUGUUUUAUUUUUAAUCCGGUUCAAAAUACCUGCUAAUUUUCUUUGAGACUUACUUUUGGCCCGCGGAUUACUUAGAAGUGUAUUGAUUCCUUUCUAAGUACUUGAAGAUUUUCCUGUUAUCUUUCUGUCGUUUUCUUGUUUAAUUCUAUCAUGGCCAGAAAAAUACUUUUCGAGAUUUCGAUUUUUAAAAAUAAUGUUUGUUUUAUGAUCUAGGAGAUGAUCUACCUUGAAGAAUGUUCCAUGUGCACCGUGUUUCGAAGAACUCCACCACCAGCUUUUCUGUGUCUCCAGUUUGCAGACAGCGGAUUGUGGGACUUCUCAGCAAAUGUAAUGAAUACACGCAAUAAAAAAUCUAACGCAUAUAAUAAA